rnacentral:rRNA from 1 species
AUACGGAGGAUGCGAGCGUUAUCCGGAUUUAUUGGGUUUAAAGGGUGCGUAGGCGGAAAGUUAAGUCAGCGGUGAAACGCAGGUGCUCAACACCUGACCUGCCGUUGAGACUGGUUUUCUAGAAUGCGGAUGCUGUGGGAGGAAUGUGUGGUGUAGCGGUGAAAUGCAUAGAUAUCACACAGAACACCGGUUGCGAAGGCGGCCCUCUGGUCGGAUACUGACACUAAGACGCGAAAGCGUGGGGAGCAACCAGGAUUAGAUACCCUGGUAGUCCACGCUGUAAACGAUGGGCACUAGGUGUCCGGGGUAUUGCCCCCCUGGGUGCCGCAGCUAACGCAUUAAGUGCCCCGCCUGGGGAGUACGGUCGCAAGAUUAAAACUCAAAGGAAUGGACGG